rnacentral:rRNA from 1 species
UUCCGGUUGAUCCCGCCGGAGGCUACCGCUAUUGGAGUCCGAUUAAGACAUGCGAGUCGAGAGCUUUCGGAGCUCGGCAUACUGCUCAGUAACACGUGGGUAACAUGCCCUGUGCUGGGGGAUAACCUCGGGAAACUGAGAACAAUACCCCAUAGUCCACUACGCCUGGAACGGUGAGUGGAUGAAAGCCCCGGCGGCACAGGAUGGGCCUGCGGCGUAUCAGGUAGUAGGGGGUGUAAAGUACCCUCUAGCCUUCGACGCGUACGGGUUGUGAGAGCAAUAGCCCGGAGAUGGAUUCUGAGACAAGAAUCCAGGUCCUACGGGACGCAGCAGUCGCGAAACCUUGACAAUGCGGGAAACCGUGAUCAGGGGACUCCAAGUGCCAGGAGUAAGAUCCUGUGCUUUUCUUUUCUCUUCAAAGGAUUUGGAAUAAGAGGUGGGUAAGGACGGUGCCAGCCGCCGCGGUAAUACCGGCGCCUCGAGUGGUAGUCGAUUUUAUUGGGCCUAAAACGUCCGUCGCCGGUCUGGUGCAUUCGUGGGUAAAUCAACCCGCUCAACGGGUUGAAUUCUGCGAGCACGGCCAGACUAGGGACCGGGAGAGGUGUGGGGUACGCUCGGGGUAGGGGUAAAAUCCUGUCAUCCCGAGCGGACCACCUGUUGCGAAGGCUCCACACUAGAACGGAUCCGACGGUCAGGGACGAAGCCUAGGGGCACGAACCGGAUUAGAUACCCGGGUAGUCCUAGGUGUAAACGCUGUGGACUUGGUGUUGGGAGCUCCCAGAGGGCUCUCAGUGCCGUAGCGAAGGUGAUAAGUCCACUGCCUGGGGAGUACGGUCGCAAGGCUGAAACUUAAAGGAAUUGGCGGGGCAGCAC